UACGAAGGAUGCAAGCGUUAUCCGGAUUUAUUGGGUUUAAAGGGAGCGUAGGCGGUCUUAUAAGUCAGUGGUGAAAUCUCGUUGCUUAACAACGACCGUGCCAUUGAUACUGUAGGACUUGAGUACAGUUGCCGUUGGCGGAAUGUGUCAUGUAGCGGUGAAAUGCAUAGAUAUGACACAGAACACCGAUUGCGAAGGCAGCUGACGAAACUGUAACUGACGCUGAGGCACGAAAGCGUGGGGAUCAAACAGG
rnacentral:rRNA from 1 species